AAAACACUGGUUCUCAUUUGAUCACCAAAGUUAAGCAGUGUUGAGCAUGGUCAGUACUUAGAUGGGAGACCACUUGGGAAUACCAGGUACUGA